rnacentral:lncRNA from 1 species
AUGGGGACAGGAGUGUCCCCAGACGAGGCAAGAGGAUGGUACGUGGCAGAAGACCCCAUACCAGCAAACCCGGGCACGGGGUCGGGAGCCGUGCGCCUCCAAGCCCCCGCGCUUCACGCUCACAGGGAGGGGUCCAUCCCCUCCAGCCACCCCCGGAGAGGAAAGGGCUCACAAACCUCCCUCCAUGGAAAAAAAAAGCACCAUUUCUCUUUGGGUCCGAGAGUCCACGGAGUGGAGCGGGGUGGCCCAGGCGCAGGCGUUCCCCGGCUCCCCGUCUCUCCCCGGGGAAGCAGCAGUAGCGGUGAGUGCGGGCAAAGGCUCAGGCCCCAAGGCCACGAGGUGUCGGUGGGAGUCCCGCCGGAGCGCGGCACGGUUUUCCUCGGGCGCCCGGAGAGAGCUGGGGGUGGCGGGGAAGGGGCGGGGGGGUGGAGCGGCCUCGGUCACGUAGUCCUGAUCGAGGUGAGGAGAUACGAGUCCAUUAAAAACCACUUACUGCCAAACUCCUGCGGGGAGAGACGAGAGGAGUGGUCAGAGAAGCGCCGAGGACCCUUCCCACCACCUCAGCCCUCGCUCCUCGAGGGGGACACCCGAGACCCCACACCGAUGGCACGGCACAUGCGGCAACGCCCUGGCACCGGCUCACCUGUCUCAGUGGUGCCGGUCCCUCUCUCUGUCCCUGUCCCGAUGUCGGUCGUGCUCCCGGUUCCGCUCCUGGAAAUAGUCCUCGUGCCGAUCCUCGCUGUGGAGCAGGUCCCGGUGCCGCCGGCUGCUUUCGCGAGACCGGCUGGGAGAGCGCUCCCGAGAUCGGUGUCUUUUCCUGAGAAAAAAGAAGAAAAAGCUUUCGGUCACCUCCGGAGAGGAUCUCGCUGGGUUGGGGACAGAGACAGCGAGCAAACCCCCAAGACGGGGUGCAACGAAGCCACCCCCACGCAGCUCCGAGCCCCAGAGCCGUCGGUACCUGGAGGAGCUGCUGCUGGCGCCCGUGCUGUAGGACUUGGCUUCGAUGCCGUGCAGACAGUCUUUGAGGGACGAGAGGAGGACGCGGCACCGCUCGUCGUUGGCGACGCGGGACUGCUUGAUGACGGCGAUGGCCGUGAGGAGGGUCUCGAUGGCGUCGCUGUAAUCGCCUGGGGAAAGCGGAGCAAGGCUCGAGGGAUGCGGACUUGCCGCAGGAUGGCACAGAGGGCGGGGGACACGUGGCGGGCACAGGGACGCGGUCACCGUUACCUGCGCUGGCGCCGGACACUGCCUUGGAAAUGGCGCUGCUGGAGAUCGCCCGGUUCCUGUUCAUGA